UGAUUCUGCUUUCUUCUCGCAUUCUCUCAUUUAGGAGUGGGGCGUUGAUGUUCUGACGAUCUGGUUUUGGUAGAUCUGGGAAGGGUCAAGGUCUCUGGGGUCUACUUUUGAUUUUGUGAAUCUUGAAGUGAAGUGUAAUAAUAAAGAAGAUAUUAUGACAAGUGCACUUGGAUGGAGAUUUUCUUCCACUAAUGGGAAUGGCCUUGCCCCAAGCGAGACGGAGAGAAAUGGGGAUAUGAAGAUGC